CCCAAAGCUUGUGUCUAUGAUUGCUAUAAAGCCUACCAAUGGUUGUUGAUCAUCUCCGGUUUGAGUGCUUUCAGUGGCUUGAUGUAGCUGUGAAGGAGGAUUUUAUAAACAUUUUUAGGACCACGGGUAACUACGACUGACUCCGAGUUACCACGAGUAAACUACGAGUAUAUCAGAAUAACCACAAGAAACUACGAAUGACUACGAGCGACCACGUGAAACUAGGACUGACUCCGAGUGACCACGAGUAACUACAACUGACUCCGAGUGACCACAAGAAACUACGACUGACUACACGUGAUCACUACGAGCAACUACGAAUGGCUUCGAGGGUCCACGAGAAACUACGACUGACUACGAGUGAUAGUACGAAUAAUUACGACUUACUCCAAGUGACCACGAGUAACUACGGAUGACUCCGAGUGAUUACGAGUAACUACGACUGACUCCGAGGUACCACGAGUAACUACUAAUGUCUCCGAGUGACCACGAGAAAAUACGACAGACUACGAGGGACUACGAAUAAUUACGACAGACUCCGAGCUCAGGGGAUCUAAGGGUUCUAAGGAUCCAUACGGGAAAAUCACACAAAAUAGGAUAUCUAAAAUGCACGAAACUUGUCAAGUGAGUUUAUCUUGUGAAACAGUAACAAAAUAUGUGUCUUGUAACAAUGGAAACCAAAGUCACGUGACUAAAAGGCGGUCAUCUUGUAUACUUUUAUAAAUUGCACCUGCCUCCAAGCUUAAAUCCUACCAAACUUUGGAAACAAAAAUAAAAAAAAUCGCAAUUUUG